GUGAACUAGCUGACACUGGUAAAGCACAUUGCCCCGGGGAUGGCCCGACGCACUUGAACUUCGUGCCAGCACCGCUCCGAUGAGAUCAUUGCAUUUGGAGCCAACUCCAGACGAGGAUCGCGGAUGGGAAGGAAACCUCCAGGCCCUUCCCUCCACCCCCACAGGCUGCACCUCGGGAAGGGCGGGAACAGGGGCCAGGCCGGGCCGGUCAGCUCCCAGGGUGUCAGCCCUCCUCACUCUUGGCGCAUGUGGUUCAAGGGGACCACCCUCCCCAACUUUCCCGAAAGCCCACCUGACCCCAGGGCCAGCCAAUCAGAGCUCACUCACCCCACUCCUCACCCCACCACUGGUUCAGGAAGAUGAACCAGGGAUAUGGGAAGACAUAAGCCAGGUCCCUCAGCAGCAACCCCAGGACCUUAGCUAAGGCUGAGCCACUGGAAGAUGCCUCCUUCCCCUGAGUGGAGACAGACUGGGAGGAAGAUGGCCUGGAGAUGCUGGCAGCCACUCGAUGCCACCACAAGGUUGUCCGUGAGCACCCCGUCCCUUGGCCCUCUCCAGCACUGGCGGUUUGCGUAAGUGAGAAGAGAACAGGCGUCAAGCUGGGCAACACCAACUAACCCGGGUCUGCUGGAUGUCCCGUGUUUAUCUUUCUGAUUGUUCUCUUCUCAUGGCGACCGAUCGUUCACGUAUGCAUUUGACAUCUUCCUUGAGCAUGCUUGUGUGCCAGGCACCGUCUCAGGCCCAGGGACGCACAAGUCAACGAACACCUCUUGUCAUGUUGGUGCGGGGAACCGAGCAGUUGGUGUAGCUCGUGGUUCAAAUCCUGGCCCAGCCAUUCGCCAGCUGUUAACCUCAGGCAAGUGGCUCAACCUCUCGGGCCUCAGCUUCCUAACCCAUCAGGUGAUACGUCAGGAG